rnacentral:rRNA from 1 species
AGUGAACGCUGGCGGCGUGCUUAACACAUGCAAGUCGAACGAGAACGGGAUAUAGCUUGCUAUAUUUGUCAGCUAAGUGGCGCACGGGUGAGUAAUGUAUAGAUAACCUGCCCUCUAGAAAGGAAUAACAGUUGGAAACGACUGCUAAUGCCCUAUAUGCCUUUAAUACAUAAGUAUGCAAGGGAAACGCUUUAGUGCUAGAGGAUGGGUCUGUAUGGUAUCAGCUUGUUUGUGAGGUAAUGGCUCACCAAGGCUAUGACGCCUAACUGGUUUGAGAGGAUGAUCAGUCACACUGGAACUGAGUCACGGUCCAGACUCCUACGGGAGGCAGCAGUUGGGAAUAUUGCACAAUGGACGAAAGUCUGAUGCAGCAACGCCGCGUGGAGGAUGACACAUUUCGGUGCGUAAACUCCUUUUAUAUAGGAAGAUAAUGACGGUACUAUAUGAAUAAGCACCGGCUAACUCCGUGCCAGCAGCCGCGGUAA